UACGUAGGUGGCGAGCGUUAUCCGGAAUGAUUGGGCGUAAAGGGUGCGUAGGCGGCCUGCUAAGUCUGGAGUGAAAGGUACCGGCUCAACCGGUACAGGCUCUGGAAACUGGCGGGCUAGAGAGCAGGAGAGGGCGGUGGAACUCCAUGUGUAGCGGUGAAAUGUGUAGAUAUAUGGAAGAACACCAGUGGCGAAAGCGGCUCUCUGGUCUGUAACUGACGCUGAGGUUCGAAAGCGUGGGUAGCAAACAGG
rnacentral:rRNA from 1 species